GGGAUAACUCCGGGAAACCGGGGCUAAUACCGGAUAACAUUUUGAACCGCAUGGUUCGAAAUUGAAAGGCGGCUUCGGCUGUCACUUAUGGAUGGACCCGCGUCGCAUUAGCUAGUUGGUGAGGUAACGGCUCACCAAGGCAACGAUGCGUAGCCGACCUGAGAGGGUGAUCGGCCACACUGGGACUGAGACACGGCCCAGACUCCUACGGGAGGCAGCAGUAGGGAAUCUUCCGCAAUGGACGAAAGUCUGACGGAGCAACGCCGCGUGAGUGAUGAAGGCUUUCGGGUCGUAAAACUCUGUUGUUAGGGAAGAACAAGUGCUAGUUGAAUAAGCUGGCACCUUGAC
rnacentral:rRNA from 1 species